rnacentral:ncRNA from 1 species
GGGUAAGUAUCGGAACUUGCCCCUUAAUCGAGCAAUCGAUUUUGACACAUUUGCUAUAUCGGUGAAACCUAAGUUCAGCGCAAGUUGAAUAUGGCAAUACCGAGGGAACCCCAUUUUUAUGGGGACGCCGUAGAGACUACACGCAAACAUCCUUAAUGGAUGAAGAUAUAGUCCAUGCCUUUAGAAAUAAAGGG